rnacentral:rRNA from 1 species
GCCGCGUGUGUGAAGAAGGCCUUCGGGUUGUAAAGCACUUUCAGUUUGUGAGGAAAGGAGUGUAGUUAAUACCUGCAUUCUAUGACGUUAGCAACAGAAGAAGCACCGGCUAACUCCGUGCCAGCAGCCGCGGUAAUACGGAGGGUGCGAGCGUUAAUCGGAAUUACUGGGCGUAAAGCGUGCGUAGGCGGUUUGUUAAGCAAGAUGUGAAAGCCCCGGGCUCAACCUUGGAACUGCAUUUUGAACUGGCAAACUAGAGUACUGUAGAGGGUGGUGGAAUUUCCAGUGUAGCGGUGAAAUGCGUAGAGAUUGGAAGGAACAUCAGUGGCGAAGGCGGCCACCUGGACCGAUACUGACGCUGAGGCACGAAAGCGUGGGGAGCAAACAGGAUUAGAUACCCUGGUAGUCCACCCCGUAAACGAUGUCAACUAGCUGUCUGUGGACUUG